GCGUACCUUUUGUAUAAUGGGUCAGCGACUUAUAUUCUGUAGCAAGGUUAACCGAAUAGGGGAGCCGAAGGGAAACCGAGUCUUAACUGGGCGUUAAGUUGCAGGGUAUAGACCCGAAACCCGGUGAUCUAGCCAUGGGCAGGUUGAAGGUUGGGUAACACUAACUGGAGGACCGAACCGACUAAUGUUGAAAAAUUAGCGGAUGACUUGUGGCUGGGGGUGAAAGGCCAAUCAAACCGGGAGAUAGCUGGUUCUCCCCGAAAGCUAUUUAGGUAGCGCCUCGUGAAUUCAUCUCCGGGGGUAGAGCACUGUUUCGGCAAGGGGGUCAUCCCGACUUACCAACCCGAUGCAAACUGCGAAUACCGGAGAAUGUUAUCACGGGAGACACACGGCGGGUGCUAACGUCCGUCGUGAAGAGGGAAACAACCCAGACCGCCAGCUAAGGUCCCAAAGUCAUGGUUAAGUGGGAAACGAUGUGGGAAGGCCCAGACAGCCAGGAUGUUGGCUUAGAAGCAGCCAUCAUUUAAAGAAAGCGUAAUAGCUCACUGGUCGAGUCGGCCUGCGCGGAAGAUGUAACGGGGCUAAACCAUGCAC
rnacentral:rRNA from 1 species